GACGAACGCUGGCGGCGUGCUUAACACAUGCAAGUCGAACGGAGCGAAUGAAAGCUUGCUUUUAUAAGCUUAGUGGCAAACGGGUGAGUAACACGUAGGCAACCUGCCAACAGGAUGGGGACAACAUUCCGAAAGGAAUGCUAAUACCGAAUGAAGUCGAGGGAGGGCAUCCUCCUCCGAUGAAAGAUGGCCUCUAUAUAUAAGCUAUCACCUGUCGAUGGGCCUGCGUCUGAUUAGCUGGUAGGUGAGGUAACGGCUCACCUAGGCGACGAUCAGUAGCCGGUCUGAGAGGAUGAACGGCCACAUUGGGACUGAGACACGGCCCAGACUCCUACGGGAGGCAGCAGUGGGGAAUCUUCCGCAAUGGGCGCAAGCCUGACGGAGCAACGCCGCGUGAGUGAAGAAGGUCUUCGGAUCGUAAAAGCUCUGUUGA
rnacentral:rRNA from 1 species